rnacentral:rRNA from 1 species
AGAGUUUGAUCAUGGCUCAGGACGAACGCUGGCGGCGUGCUUAACACAUGCAAGUCGAACGGUAAGGCCCUUCGGGGUACACGAGUGGCGAACGGGUGAGUAACACGUGGGUAAUCUGCCCUGCACAUCGGGAUAAGCCUGGGAAACUGGGUCUAAUACCGAAUAGGACCACAGAACACAUGUCCUGUGGUGGAAAGCUUUUGCGGUGUGGGAUGGGCCCGCGGCCUAUCAGCUUGUUGGUGGGGUGAUGGCCCACCAAGGCGACGACGGGUAGCCGGCCUGAGAGGGUGUCCGGCCACACUGGGACUGAGAUACGGCCCAGACUCCUACGGGAGGCAGCAGUGGGGAAUAUUGCACAAUGGGUGAAAGCCUGAUGCAGCGACGCCGCGUGGGGGAUGACGGCCUUCGGGUUGUAAACCUCUUUCACCAUCGACGAAGGUUCGGGUUUUCUCGGAUUGACGGUAGGUGGAGAAGAAGCACCGGCCAACUACGUGCCAGCAGCCGCGGUAAUACGUAGGGUGCGAGCGUUGUCCGGAAUUACUGGGCGUAAAGAGCUCGUAGGUGGUUUGUCGCGUUGUUCGUGAAAUCUCACGGCUUAACUGUGAGCGUGCGGGCGAUACGGGCAGACUUGAGUACUGCAGGGGAGACUGGAAUUCCUGGUGUAGCGGUGGAAUGCGCAGAUAUCAGGAGGAACACCGGUGGCGAAGGCGGGUCUCUGGGCAGUAACUGACGCUGAGGAGCGAAAGCGUGGGGAGCGAACAGGAUUAGAUACCCUGGUAGUCCAA